GACCAGUCCCAGUUCGGAUAAGAGGCUGAAACUCGCCUCUUUGAAGUCGGAAUCGCUAGUAAUCGCAGAUCAGCAUGUUGCGGUGAAUACGUUCCCGGGUCUUGUACACACCGCCCGUCAAACCAUGAGAGUCACCAACACCCGAAGUCCGCCUUGGCGGCCUAAGGUGGGGGAGAUGAUUGGGGUUAAGUCGUAACAAGGUACC
rnacentral:rRNA from 1 species